rnacentral:lncRNA from 1 species
AGCAAGGAAGGUGUGAUCCUUUCCUUCACUUUGGCACCCCCUAUUCUACUCCUACACCUAUCUACUAAUACACCCCCCUAAAGCUCCUAACUAAAGCCUAAAAGAUGCUAUAACAAAAGAGGUUUCUAAGGUUUCCCUCUAAGCACCUUCAACUAAAGACACUACAAAAAGAGAAAAUAAAUGUCCUCUAGCUCCCAAAGCUUUGAACAUGCUUCUUGUAAUCCUUUGAGGUGGACUUUGACCUCCAUGGGCGUCCUCCAUUUGUGCCUCCACCUCUUCUUGAGCUUGAUGAGUGGCCUCCAUGUUCUCUUGG